rnacentral:RNase_P_RNA from 1 species
UAAGUAGAUUAGGUAAUCGCGGAUGAGAUAGUAUCUCUUCCGAGGAAAGUCCGAGCUCCACAGGGCAGAGUGCUGGGUAAUCCCCAGUGAGGGCAACCUUAAUGAAAGUGCUACAGAAAAUACACAACUGGGCAUUUAAUUUUGAAUACCCAGUAAAGGUGAAAAGGCAGGGUAAGAGCCUACCAGUUAUUAGGUGACUAAUAAGCUUAGUAAACCCCACUCGGAGCAAGACCAAAUAGGAAGAAUUGUGGUAGCCCGCUGAAUCUUCGGGUAGGUCGCUAGAGGUGUAGGGUAACUUACAUCCCAGAUAGAUGAUUACCACUCUUAUAUUUCAUUAAUGGUUACUUGGUUAACCAGUUAAGGUUAAUAAGAGGACAGAACUCGGCUUAUAUGAUCUGCUUAUCAU